AUUGAACGCUGGCGGCAGGCCUAACACAUGCAAGUCGAGCGGUAGAGAGGUGCUUGCAUCUCUUGAGAGCGGCGGACGGGUGAGUAAUGCCUAGGAAUCUGCCUAGUGGUGGGGGAUAACGUUCGGAAACGGACGCUAAUACCGCAUACGUCCUACGGGAGAAAGCGGGGGGAUCUUCGGACCUCGCGCCAUUAGAUGAGCCUAGGUCGGAUUAGCUAGUUGGUGAGGUAAUGGCUCACCAAGGCGACGAUCCGUAACUGGUCUGAGAGGAUGAUCAGUCACACUGGAACUGAGACACGGUCCAGACUCCUACGGGAGGCAGCAGUGGGGAAUAUUGGACAAUGGGCGAAAGACCUGAUCCAGCCAUGCCGCGUGUGUGAAGAAGGUCUUCGGA
rnacentral:rRNA from 1 species